GCCCGCGUAGCUCAGCUGGUAGAGCAGCUGUCUUGUAAACAGCAGGUCAUCGGUUCGACUCCGGUCGCGGGCUCCA
rnacentral:tRNA from 2 species